GGGAGUGGGGAAGGGGGCAGUGGGGUUAGGGUAGUGGGGAAGGGGGUAGUGGUGUUAGGGUAGUGGGGAAGGGGUAAUGGUGUUAGGGUAGUGGGGAAGGGGGCAUUGGUGUUAGGGUAGUGGGGAAGGGGGUAGGGGUUUU